AGAGUUUGAUCCUGGCUCAGGACGAACGCUGGCGGCGUGCUUAACACAUGCAAGUCGAACGAUGAUGCCAGCUUGCUGGUGGAUUAGUGGCGAACGGGUGAGUAACACGUGAGUAACCUGCCCUUAACUCUGGGAUAAGCCUGGGAAACUGGGUCUAAUACCGGAUAUGACUCCUCAUCGCAUGGUGGGGGGUGGAAAGCUUUUUGUGGUUUUGGAUGGACUCGCGGCCUAUCAGCUUGUUGGUGAGGUAAUGGCUCACCAAGGCGACGACGGGUAGCCGGCCUGAGAGGGUGACCGGCCACACUGGGACUGAGACACGGCCCAGACUCCUACGGGAGGCAGCAGUGGGGAAUAUUGCACAAUGGGCGCAAGCCUGAUGCAGCGACGCCGCGUGAGGGAUGACGGCCUUCGGGUUGUAAACCUCUUUCAGUAGGGAAGAAGCGAAAGUGACGGUACCUGCAGAAGAAGCGCCGGCUAACUACGUGCCAGCAGCCGCGGUAAUACGUAGGGCGCAAGCGUUAUCCGGAAUUAUUGGGCGUAAAGAGCUCGUAGGCGGUUUGUCGCGUCUGCCGUGAAAGUCCGGGGCUCAACUCCGGAUCUGCGGUGGGUACGGGCAGACUAGAGUGAUGUAGGGGAGACUGGAAUUCCUGGUGUAGCGGUGAAAUGCGCAGAUAUCAGGAGGAACACCGAUGGCGAAGGCAGGUCUCUGGGCAUUAACUGACGCUGAGGAGCGAAAGCAUGGGGAGCGAACAGGAUUAGAUACCCUGGUAGUCCAUGCCGUAAACGUUGGGCACUAGGUGUGGGGGACAUUCCACGUUUUCCGCGCCGUAGCUAACGCAUUAAGUGCCCCGCGGGGGAGUACGGCCGCAAGGCUAAAACUCAAAGGAAUUGACGG
rnacentral:rRNA from 1 species